CACGUAGGGUGCGAGCGUUGUCCGGAAUUAUUGGGCGUAAAGAGCUCGUAGGCGGUCUGUCACGUCGGCCGUGAAAUCCCGAGGCUCAACCCCGGGUCUGCAGUCGAUACGGGCAAACUAGAGUAUUGCAGGGGAGACUGGAAUUCCUGGUGUAGCGGUGAAAUGCGCAGAUAUCAGGAGGAACACCUGCGGCGAAGGCGGGUAGCUGGGCCGACACUGACGCUGAGGCGCGAAAGCCAGGGGAGCGAACGGG
rnacentral:rRNA from 1 species